GACAGAGGGGGCAAGCGUUGCUCGGAAUCACUGGGCGUAAAGGGCGCGUAGGCGGGAUGGCAAGUCGGAUGUGAAAUCCCUCGGCUUAACCGGGGAACUGCGUCCGAUACUGGAUGGCUUGAGUUCGGGAGAGGGAUGCGGAAUUCCAGGUGUAGCGGUGAAAUGCGUAGAUAUCUGGAGGAACACCGGUGGCGAAGGCGGCAUCCUGGACCGACACUGACGCUGAGGUGCGAAAGCGUGGGGAGCAAACAGG
rnacentral:rRNA from 1 species